rnacentral:rRNA from 1 species
UACGAAGGGGGCUAGCGUUGCUCGGAAUCACUGGGCGUAAAGGGUGCGUAGGCGGGUCUUUACGUCAGGGGUGAAAUCCUGGAGCUCAACUCCAGAACUGCCUUUGAUACUGGUGAGCUUGAGUCCGGAAGAGGUGAGUGGAACUGCGAGUGUAGAGGUGAAAUUCGUAGAUAUUCGCAAGAACACCAGUGGCGAAGGCGGCUCACUGGUCCGGUACUGACGCUGAGGUGCGAAAGCGUGGGGAGCAAACAGG